UUAAAGAUCCAGGAGAUGUUCAGCUACUAGGAACUGCUAGCAAGUAUAGCGCGAAUGGCUUCCAGCUCAGAAUCUCUACAGCUGAGAGUAGACACUUGUGGUAUGUGGAGUACAGAUAAGCCAGGGGCAGGCCACGGCACCUCCAUGAAAGCUAGGAGGGAGUGAAGUUUGAGUGACCAUCGCAAGGAAGGAGGCAGACGAGAGUAAGGCACACCUGACUCUUAGGACUAGCAGGCAGAGCCAGAAGGAAAGGUUUAUUGCUAUGCUGCUAGGUAAGAACAGAUUUUACUUACAUCCGUAUAGUUAUAAAUUAUAGUCCAAUUUUCUGUUGGAUUUCUCUUAAUUAUAUUGAGCCAAAACUAGUCCAGUUAAGCUGCACUUGGUUUUUCUGGAGAUGAAUUGUUUUUAUUUAAUUAAUGCCCUAUUAGUCCUACUUGAAGGGAAUGAAUACAUUUCUAUUGUGACAAUAUGUUUUGGCCCUUUAAUUUUAUUUAACCUUCCUUUGACCCAUUUUCUUAAAGCAAUGGCUCAAAGUAAUAUUAGAUACAUUUCCCCAAAAUGGUGGGAGGGUGGGUGGAUUGUUAAUGGGAGGGGGUGGGACUAGUUUAAUGAUGGGAAUUGGCCCCACAAAAGGCUAGUUCUAAAUGUUGUUUGCUUUUUUAGGAAGGAAUCUGCUAUGAGGCUUAACUGCUGUCAUAAAAUUUGUUUAAAAAACAUGCUACAGAAGUUAUUGGCUAAAAGGAACAUCCUUAAGAGAAGAGCCUUUAUUCUGGGCCACUCUACUACUUCUCACUGCCAUGCAGUUGGGUUUUAGCUGUACUGCUAAAAAUCAUUCAAUUUUGUGAAUGGCUUACUUUUUUUACAAUAAACUUUUUAAUUAACUUGG
rnacentral:lncRNA from 1 species